rnacentral:rRNA from 1 species
UUUCCCGGUUGAUCCUGCCGGGACGUGACUGCUAUCGGAUUGAUACUAAGCCAUGCGAGUCAUUGUAGUAAUACAAGGCAGACGGCUCAGUAACGCGUAGUCAACCUACCCUAUGGACGGGGAUAACCUCGGGAAACUGAGAAUAAUACCCGAUAGAACAUUAUACCUGGAAUGGUUUAUGUUUCAAAUAAUUUAUUGCCGUAGGAUGGGACUGCGGCCUAACAGUUUGUUGGUGAGGUAAUGGCCCACCAAGACUAUUACAGGUACGGGCUCUGAGAGGAGUAGCCCGGAGAUGGGUACUGAGACACGGACCCAGGCCCUAUGGGGCGCAGCAGGCGAGAAAACUUUGCAAUGUGCGAAAGCACGACAAGGUUAAUCCGAGUGGUUUCUGCUAAAGGAACCUUUUGUCAGUCCUAGAAACACUGGUGAAUAAGGGGUGGGCAAGUUCUGGUGUCAGCCGCCGCGGUAAAACCAGCACCUCAAGUGGUCAGGAUGAUUAUUGGGCCUAAAGCAUCCGUAGCCUGCUUUGUUAGUUUUCGGUUAAAUCCAUACGCUCAACGUAUGGGCUGCCGGGAAUACUGCAAAGCUAGGGAGUGGGAGAGGUAGACGGUACUCGGUAGGAAGGGGUAAAAUCCUUUGAUCUAUUGAUGACCACCUGUGGCGAAGGCGGUCUACCAGAACACGUCCGACGGUGAGGGAUGAAAGCUGGGGGAGCAAACCGGAUUAGAUACCCGGGUAGUCCCAGCUGUAAACUAUGCAAACUCGGUGAUGCAUUGGCUUGAUGCCAAUGCAGUGCCGCAGGGAAGCCGUUAAGUUUGCCGCCUGGGAAGUACGUACGCAAGUAUGAAACUUAAAGGAAUUGGCGGGGGAGCACCACAAGGGGUGAAGCCUGCGGUUCAAUUGGAUUCAACGCCGGG